rnacentral:rRNA from 1 species
AUUGAACGCUGGCGGCAGGCCUAACACAUGCAAGUCGAGCGGAUGACGGGAGCUUGCUCCUUGAUUCAGCGGCGGACGGGUGAGUAAUGCCUAGGAAUCUGCCUGGUAGUGGGGGACAACGUUUCGAAAGGAACGCUAAUACCGCAUACGUCCUACGGGAGAAAGCAGGGGACCUUCGGGCCUUGCGCUAUCAGAUGAGCCUAGGUCGGAUUAGCUAGUUGGUGGGGUAAUGGCUCACCAAGGCGACGAUCCGUAACUGGUCUGAGAGGAUGAUCAGUAAAACUGAAACUGAGACACGGUCCAGACUCCUCCGUGAGGCAGCAGUGGGGAAUAUUGGACAAUGGGCGAAAGCCUGAUCCAGCCAUGCCGCGUGUGUGAAGAAGGUCUUCGGAUUGUAAAGCACUUUAAGUUGGGAGGAAGGGCAGUAAGUUAAUACCUUGCUGUUUUGACGUUACCGACAGAAUACGCACCGGCUAACUCUGUGCCAGCCGCCGCCGUAACAC